UACAGAGGGUGCAAGCGUUAAUCGGAAUUACUGGGCGUAAAGCGCGCGUAGGUGGUUGGGUAAGUCGGUUGUGAAAUCCCCGGGCUUAACCUGGGAAUUGCAGUCGAUACUGCUCAGCUAGAGUGUGGAAGAGGGAAGCGGAAUUUCCGGUGUAGCGGUGAAAUGCGUAGAUAUCGGAAGGAACACCAGUGGCGAAGGCGGCUUCCUGGUCCAACACUGACACUGAGGCGCGAAAGCGUGGGUAGCGAAC
rnacentral:rRNA from 1 species